GUUGACCUCGGGAUCAGGUAGG
rnacentral:rRNA from 1 species